GAUGAACGCUGGCGGCGUGCCUAAUACAUGCAAGUCGAGCGAACAGACGAGGAGCUUGCUCCUCUGACGUUAGCGGCGGACGGGUGAGUAACACGUGGAUAACCUACCUAUAAGACUGGGAUAACUUCGGGAAACCGGAGCUAAUACCGGAUAAUAUAUUGAACCACAUGGUUCAAUAGUGAAAGACGGUUUUGCUGUCACUUAUAGAUGGAUUCGCGCCGCAUUAGCUAGUUGGUAAGGUAACGGCUUACCAAGGCAACGAUGCGUAGCCGCCCUGAGAGGGUGACCGCCCACACGGGAACUGAGCCACGGUCCAGACUCCUACGGGAGGCACCAGUAGGGAAUCUUCCGCAAUGGGCGAAAGCCUGACGGAGCAACGCCGCGUGAGUGAUGAAGGUCUUCGGAUCGUAAAACUCUGUUAUUAGGGAAGAACAAAUGUGUAAGUAACUAUGCACGUCUUGACGGUACCUAAUCAGAAAGCCACGGCUAACUACGUG
rnacentral:rRNA from 1 species